rnacentral:rRNA from 1 species
GAUGAACGCUAGCGGCAGGCCUAAUACAUGCAAGUCGAACGGUGAUAGCAAUAUCAUAGUGGCGCACGGGUGCGUAACACGUAUGCAACCUACCUAUUAUUGGGGGAUAGCCUUUGGAAACGGAGAUUAAUACCGCAUAAUACGAUUGACUGGCAUCGGUUGAUUGUUAAAGCUUCGGCGAUAAUAGAUGGGCAUGCGUCCAAUUAGUUAGUUGGUGAGGUAAUGGCUCACCAAGACGAUGAUUGGUAGGGGAUCUGAGAGGAUAAUCCCCCACACUGACACUGAGAUACGGGCCAGACUCCUACGGGAGGCAGCAGUAGGGAAUAUUGGGCAAUGGAGGGAACUCUGACCCAGCCAUGCCGCGUGCAGGAAGAAGGCGUUAUGCGUUGUAAACUGCUUUUUUAUAGGAAGAAGGAUCUCUUGCGAGAGAAGGUGACGGUACUAUAAGAAUAAGCACCGGCUAACUCCGUGCCAGCCGCCGCAGUAACAC